AGAUUACUUCAGCUCCGUGGGGGCAGGUGUACGUUCCUCUCCCAGCCGCUGAAGAUAUUUCCAUCUCUACAGAAGGCGGCGUGCAGAAGGAGCGUUCCCUCUGUGGAAGGACAUUUCAUCGGCGACAGAGAGAGCGAGAGAGUGAAUAAUGAACAAUAACGGGAGACUGGCUGAAUGAGCGAAAAUCUUCAGAACAACUGAAGUACCAAGUGCAUCACAGUUUCUUUUAUGAAAGAGAGCCAGCAGAUGUGACAUGGCAGUACCCCUGUGGGAAGGUGUGCUCCACGUACCUAACAAACUGGUUGCUAUAGUGAAGGCAUCCUGGUGUCAUCUGCAAUAUCGAGGAAGGUGAGAUUGAGAUCAAUCAAAAGACGGAUCUAUUGGACCAAGUAACCUUCGCCUUUCUAAAAGUUCCAUCAGAUCCCCUCAGAUUCUGCCACUCGUGUACCCACCAGGAACAAUUUACACUGGCCAAUUAACUUGCCUUCACGCCUUUGGCAUGAGGAAGCAGACCCAUGCAGUCACAGGGAGAACAUGCAAACUCCACGCAGACAACACCCAGGGUCAGGAAUGAACCUAUGUCACUGAAGCUGUGAGGCAGCAGCUGUGCCACUGAGCCGCUUCACAUUGGCUUCUCUGCCCUUUCACCUUUCUCACAUUGUUUUAAUCAGUUCCUGUGAUCUGGACAUUUUUGGCAAAGACAGCAUUGAUUGCCAAUCCCUUUGUACCUUUGGAUAAGUCACUUCCCUGCAAAACAACAGUCUGCAUGAUGAAGGGAUUCUCUCAGUGCAUUUGUAGAUUGGGAUUCCUGAAGCUCCCUAUCUCAUGGUGAUGAAGGAAUAGCGAUAGAUUUCCAAGCUGGAAACAUGGAGAUGAUGUGGAAACAUGUGCGUGUUCCCCUUCCCCUACCACGUCGUAGAUGUUGUAGGUUUGGGAUGUACAGUUACGGAAGAACUUUUUUUGCCAUUCAAUAUGAUCGUGGUUGAUCUGCCCCAGGACUCCUAUCCUCCUCUGUGCCAAUUCCCCAUAGCCCUCAAUUCCUUCCUCUUUGAAUACCUCCAAUGUUCUAGCCUCCACAACCCACUGGGGCAGAAAAUUCCAAAGAUUCAUCAUCCUCUGUGACAAUCUGCUGUAACCGAAGAGGCUCAGUUAUGAAGGGAUAGAGCUUUUUCUUGCUGUUAAUGCAUGUCCUUGUCUACAAUGCUUUUGCUCCCUGUAUUUGGUGAAGAUGUUUUUGACUGAACAUUGUGAAGUGUAUAAUUUGUAAAAUGUAUCAUAUCUGUGUAUAACCUUGAACCAAUGUCAAUAAA